UUUUGUGUGUCUAGAACCACCUCUAGCUCUGUUUCACAUUUGCACCUACUGCAGAGCACUACCCCAGCCGAGAUGGUCGCUCUUGGUAUUUGACUGGUCUCCCUUAUGACUCUUCUGCCUCUGCUGCAACCAGCAUCUGUGAUUGGCUCGGUUUUCCUUUGUUCUGGCCAAUUUAAGUUGACCAUAUUGACUUGAGGUUGAGGAAAAGGAUCCGUUGUGACCGAUGGUGGUUUUUCUGCCAGUUUCAAC
rnacentral:lncRNA from 1 species